rnacentral:rRNA from 1 species
GACGAACGCUGGCGGCGUGCUUAACACAUGCAAGUCGAACGAAGAGCGAUGGAAGCUUGCUUCUAUCAAUCUUAGUGGCGAACGGGUGAGUAACGCGUAAUCAACCUGCCCUUCAGAGGGGGACAACAGUUGGAAACGACUGCUAAUACCGCAUACGAUCUAAACUCGGCAUCGAGGAUAGAUGAAAGGUGGCCUCUACAUGUAAGCUACCACUGAAGGAGGGGAUUGCGUCUGAUUAGCUAGUUGGAGGGGUAACGGCCCACCAAGGCGAUGAUCAGUAGCCGGUCUGAGAGGAUGAACGGCCACAUUGGGACUGAGACACGGCCCAGACUCCUACGGGAGGCAGCAGUGGGGAAUCUUCCGCAAUGGACGAAAGUCUGACGGAGCAACGCCGCGUGAGUGAUGACGGCCUUCGGGUUGUAAAGCUCUGUUAAUCGGGACGAAAGGCCUUCUUGCGAAUAGUGAGAAGGAUUGACGGUACCGGAAUAGAAAGCCACGGCUAACUACGUG